AGCUUCCUGUAUCCGUGCUGAGAUUUCGUCACCCAACAGACCACAAGGGCUGAUGAAUCUCUCAAGGUAAAUGAGUCG
rnacentral:pre_miRNA from 1 species